GUACGUUUGUGGGCGUAGCCACCAGCCAACAGGAAAAUACCUUUUCCGAUCAUUAUAACAACAGAGGUUGUUUUGUUCGAGAAUAAAAUGCAUAAAAUAAAAGUAAAUUGAAAAUCAAA